GUCCGGGCGUUAUCCGGAUUUAUUGGGUUUAAAGGGAGCGUAGGCGGGCUGUCAAGUCAGCGGUAAAAGCCCGGGGCUCAACCCCGGCCCGCCGUUGAAACUGGCUUGCUUGAGUUGGAGAGAAGUAGGCGGAAUGCGCGGUGUAGCGGUGAAAUGCUUAGAUAUCGCGCAGAACUCCGAUUGCGAAGGCAGCCUACCGGCUCCAGACUGACGCUGAGGCACGAAAGCGUGGGUAUC
rnacentral:rRNA from 1 species